rnacentral:lncRNA from 1 species
ACUACAUUGCAUCAGUUAUGUUGGCAACAAUCAGAGAGUAUCAGUUCAUCAAUGCAAAUUCAUUGAAAUUGCUUGAUCAAUGGCAAGCUUAAACAGCCAAUCAAAUGCAACUCAUCAACUAAACAUAGCAACUAUGUUGUUCAUCGACCUUACAACCUCAGUAUUCACUUUCAACUCUCAACCAUAUAUUGCAUCAGCUAUGUUGGCAACAAUCAGAGAUUAUCAGUUCAUCGAUGCAAAUCUAGUGAAACUGCUUAAUCAAUGGCAAGCUUAAACAACCAAUCAAAUGCAACUGAUCAACUUAACAUAUCAACUAUAGUGCCAAUCAACCUUACAAAUUCAGCAUCCACUUUCAACUCUCAACCAAACAACGGACAUUUUCAACAACUUUAUAAUCAGGCUUUUUUAUGGUAUCUCACACUUGGCAUUAAUCAUGUGUGUGUGCAUACAAUUUUUUCCUCCCUUUUAUUAGAAGCUGGC